rnacentral:rRNA from 1 species
AACCGAGAACUCCUACGGGAGGCAGCAGUGGGGAAUUUUGGACAAUGGGGGCAACCCUGAUCCAGCAGUGCCGCGUGAGUGAAGAAGGCCUUCGGGUUGUAAAGCUCUUUUGUCAGGGAAGAAACGGUAGUAGCUAAUAUCUAUUACUAAUGACGGUACCUGAAGAAUAAGCACCGGCUAACUACGUGCCAGCAGCCGCGGGAAUACGUAGGGUGCAAGCGUUAAUCGGAAUUACUGGGCGUAAAGCGUGCGCAGGCGGUUGUGUAAGUCAGAUGUGAAAUCCCCGGGCUCAGCCUGGGAAUUGCAUUUGAGACUGCACGGCUAGGGUGUGUCAGAGGGGGGUAGAAUUCCACGUGUAGCAGUGAAAUGCGUAGAUAUGUGGAGGAAUACCGAUGGCGAAGGCAGCCCCCUGGGAUAACCCUGUCGCUCAUGCACGAAAGCGUGGGGAGCAAACAGGAUUAGAAACCCUGGUAGUCCGACUGAGA